rnacentral:tRNA from 1 species
AGGCAACUAGUCUAAUGAAAGACUACUGAUUUCGGAUCAGUAAGAUCAUGGUUCAACUCCAUGGUUGUCUU